GCGGAUGUGGCGGAAUUGGUAGACGCGCUAGAUUUAGGUUCUAGUACUCUCGUAGUGUGAAGGUUCAAGUCCUUUCAUCCGCA
rnacentral:tRNA from 3 species